UUCGUUUCGUACUCUGUGCAUCGUACAUAAGCGAACAGCUGUUAUGUUAUUGCUAAGCCGGAAACAAAGCAUGUGAAUAUUUUUUUUUUGGCAAGGCGUCGUUUGGAAAGUGCACUUCCUUGUUCUGACCUUGCCUUUUAUGGGCUGGAGCGAUAUGCCACGGCGAAGUUGUCGAAGAUGCGACGGUGCUACGUGCUACGCUGUUAGAACAAUUCAUCGGAGCAUUCAAGUGUUACCUUUUAUAAGCUGCUAAAAGACCAAGCAGUGCGAAGCUCUUGGCUGACAGUGGUGCCUGCUAAUUUCCACUGCAAGGAUUUCGUCAACGAAUGUUAUCAUAGGUUAUACGCGCGACUCCAGAGGCAAUUUGGAAUAUCGGCACGAAAUCGUCGGAUGAAAAUCUGAGGUGCCCGACGCACAACAUUUUGAACGUGCCACGGAGGAUCAAGGCAAAAAACGAGAGCAAAAAAGGUGCACGCUGAAGGCGGAAAUGAAGCAUGAUCUGGCUUGCAUCUGGUGCAUGAAGAAAUUGCUGGCACGUUACUUGCAGUCUACCUCCACCAACAGGGUGGAAAACAAAGGUCGCCAUUCCGAUUAGCUGCUAUCUCCCAGUUCAAGCACUUUUGCUGUCUGGACACUGGUUCCUGUGGAUGGGCUGUUACAAGCUUCACUGUCUGAUAUAGAAGUGAUGAGCAUCCAUAAGGACACAUGGCAGAAAGGGAGUCUCUUUGAGAUGACAAACCCUCAUCACCUCAUGAGGAUACAAUGGUUGACGAAUGGUUCUCAAGUACAUCGAAACUUCAACAAAUAAUUCAUGAAAAAGCCAGUCAGUGCUAGCACCAGGAAUUGAACGUGGACCGUCCUGCUACCAGUCAGAGAUGUUACAUUUCAGGUGCUCAUUGACUUUUGGUGAAUUACUUGUUGACUUUGUCCCAAGGUGGAGCUCGCCACAGCUCAUUUGUCUAUCUGUUAAUGUUGUGGCAUGUGUUGCGUUUUUCUCUUUGUGUGUUCCAG